UUAGUAUUUACAAAUGUAAUUCUAUCUUGCUAGGCUGGCAGCCUUUACCUAUCUCCACAUGGAGAUAAAAUGGAAAGUAGUGAAACAGGUUGACAUCUUCAAGUAUCUAGAAGGGGUGUUUGUGGAAAAGGGAAGUAUAAAUGGGGAGGUCAAAGCUAGAAUUAGAAUAGGUGAAGCCAAGUAGCACAAAGUGUCAACGGUAGUAUAUCACGGAAGAAUGCCAAAGACGUUGAAAAGCAAGGUAUACAAAACAGUGAAGAGCAGUACUAAUACUGCAUGGUACAAAAGCCUUAGCAGUAAAGGCAGAGCAGUUAGGGAAGCCAGAGGUGAUUGAGAUGAAGUGCUUAAGACAUGUGGUAGGCGGCAUACUGUGGGAUAUACAAAGAAAUAAGGCUAUCAAAGCAGAAGCUCCAGUUGUAGACAAGGUCAAAGAGAACAGAUUAAGGUGGUUCAAGCUCAUGUGCAGAAAAGCAUAAGAUAAUUUGGUGAAGAAGAUUUUGAAUAGACAGGAGAAAGGCGAGAGGAAAUGAGGGCAUCCACCAAAGAGGUGCAUGGAUUGUGUGAGUGAAAGCCUACGACCAUCAGCUAUGAGUGUUGAAGCAGGUAUGAGAGUGGCACUGAAUUGAGAGAGCGAGAUGGUGAUAAUUAACAUGACACUCAACCCCAUGUAAAAGAUGAGAAAAGGUGGGGGGGAUGAUGAUGGUUAAUUAGAACACUGUUUUGUGUUAUGUCAUACAAAACUUUAUCAGGUGAUGAAGUAUUAUACAAGUUGAGUCAAAAGCCUUUACUGGGAAUAUUAUUGUAGUAAAGGCAGAGGAAUCCUGUAUAUCUUGGUAUCUGAUAUUCAUCUAACUUUAAAAGUCUUUUAUAGGUUCAUAGGUGUGUACAAGGCUAACUGCCCUGGAGCCUUCACAAGCCUAACCCAUAAAUGUGCCCUGCCAUCGUGCUGCCCGACUUUGGCUCCCAGUGCCUCUAUCUAGUAGAGCCAAUGGAGUGAUCCCUGUGGUGAACUUAAUGUUACCCAUCCACUCAUCGCGAUUAUAACUGAAGAUGAGCACACUUACUGGAAUUUCUGUUGUAACAAACCCAGAAUGCUGAGUCUUCUUGUUCUACAGCCACUGAAACACCAGUAUAAAAUGUGUCAGUGGCUUGAAAGAUAGCACAUCAUCAUAAUAAUGUUCACAUAAUUAUAACACAACUGUUCAACUAAUAGAAUUAGAAUGCCAUCUUUCCUUCGAAUCUUUUUAUUGGAAACUAAUGCUAUGUUGUCUGCAUGCUGUGUGAAAUUUUACAACAACCUUGCAGAGAUGAAAUAAUUUUUGCGUUUGUUACUGAUGUGAGUUUGCAUAUUCAGACUUGGAUGAUGGGUAAAGCCAAGGUAUUUAAAAGAAAACAUACUCGGUAAACUGAUUGUUUUAUAUAAGUGGGUGUUGCAAGGCUAGGUGAGUUAAUAAGUUUUGGAGGACUGCCAAAGAACACCUGUCAGUAUAUUUUUUGUGUGGUUGCAUUUAGCAUGAGUUUCAUAUUGUGCAGUGAAAUAAAAAACUUAAGAUUUGUUUGAAGGUUGUCUUUAAUUGUUUUGUGAUGUACUAGGUAGGUUCAAAGAAUAAUUCUAGCAUUUCAUUUAAUUUAUUUAAUAUUUAAUUCAGUAAUUAAACAUUAAUUUACUGUUACAGAUUUAGUCAUGUGAUCUCGUUUUUCUUCCAUAUUGUCUGCUCUUUUCAUUAAGCAGUCUUUCAGCAUUAUAUUAUGAGCCUAGUAUGUAGCUAGUUAGGAUUCAGUAUUUACAGACCAUUUUCUAAUGCCAUACUAAAAAGUCCAUUAUUUUGAAGUAUGUUGUGCUUAAUAAAUGCAGUUAAGAUAAAAGGUUUUAUUAAAUGGUAAUUCUUAAGUCACAAGCUUUCGGUUGUCUGUGCUGAAAUGCAACUUCCUUUGGAACCAGCCUGGAAAUCUGCUUUUUUCAUAAUCUUGGUGUUUCUGCUCAGAUGUUGUAGUAUAAGUUUGUGAUAAAUCUGUUAGAGCAUGAAGAAUGUAUGGCUUAACUGUUGUUCUGUAGUCUUGUUUUUUUUUUAUUUUUUACUUUGAAGUAAUGUUCUACACUAACCAGUUAUCCUCUCAUUUUUUUGCAGGCUGUUGAAUGUGAACCACUUUCUACAAAAAGCUAAACCAUGAACAAAACAUCAGAAAGUGGUACAUGGACGAUGCUGUCUUAGUUAAAAACAAGUAAUAGUUUUGAUGGCUUGUUAACACCCACCUGCUUUGCUAAAGUCUACAACAGGAAUGAUGAACUUUCAAAGAGCAUUUAACCACCUGAUUUGAUGAAGUCUACAAAACGAAUGAUGGACUUUCAAAGAGCAUUUUAUUAAAUAUUGUAUUAUUUUACAUAAUCUCUUGUAUAACUUUUUAAAUUGAAGUUGUAAAUUUAACUGUUACAUUCACUUUCUUGCUUCCAGUAUAAGUAGGUGCUGUUGUAUUGUAUUAUUCAGUAAGGGAGAGUUUGCCUUUCAUAAUGCUGUAAAAGUCAUACUUAAGAGUAUUAUUUUACAGUAGUCUAUCACUUUACUUUUUGAAAUGCAGUAGAGGCUUGAAUGAUACUAUAUGAGUGGCUGUCAAGAUUAACCAUGUCAGUUUUAUAGUUGUACUAUUGAUUGCUUGUUUUUUUUUUAACUAUUCGCUAAUGUUUUAAUCUAUGCUGCUUGCACUAUGUAUCAAGCUUUUGAGCUCAUGAGGCAGCUUAUUAAAGUUGUCUUCAGUAUAUCGCAUCUUACCAAAAUGAACUGUCACUGCUACAAAAUAAAAGUGACAGUUAUAUAAAAUAUUCUUUUUUUUUAAUUUAAAA